rnacentral:piRNA from 1 species
UAUCUAUUAGGAGAUUGUGCU